CCUACGGGUGGCAGCAGUGAGGAAUAUUGGUCAAUGGGCGCGAGCCUGAACCAGCCAAGUAGCGUGAAGGAUGACUGCCCUAUGGGUUGUAAACUUCUUUUAUAUGGGAAUAAAGUGCUCCACGUGUGGGGUUUUGUAUGUACCUUAUGAAUAAGGAUCGGCUAAAUCCGUGCCAGCAGCCGCGGUAAUACGGAGGAUCCGAGCGUUAUCCGGAUUUAUUGGGUUUAAAGGGAGCGUAGGCGGGUUGUUAAGUCCGUUGUGAAAGUGUGCGGCUCAACCGUAAAAUUGCAGUUGAAACUGGCAGUCUUGAGUACAGGAGAGGUAGGCGGAAUUCGUGGUGUAGCGGUGAAAUGCUUAGAUAUCACGAAGAACUCCGAUGGCGAAGGCAGCGUACUGGACUGCAACUGACGCUGAGGCUCGAAAGUGUGGGUAUCAAACAGGAUUAGAUACCCGGGUAGUC
rnacentral:rRNA from 1 species